CUCCUUCUUUUCUCCACCUUCAUCUAUUACUUCUCCUUCUACUCCAUCCUCAUGCUUCUUACCUUUCUUUUCUUUAUCCUUCUUCUUUUUCUUCUUCUCUUCUUUCUCUUUAGCUUCCUCUUCUUCUUCCUCAUCUACUACAUCCUUGUUUUUCUCCUCAGUUUGCUGCUUCUCUUUUUUCUUUUUCUCUUCCCCUUUGUCUUCUUUCUUUUUCUCCUUUUCCCCUCCCAAGUCCAUUACAAUACCCCUAGAUGCAACUUCAGUCUUUGGCUCAUCAACUUCAUCCUUAGGUUCCUUCUCCUUUUUCUCUUCUUUGUCCUUCUUUUCUUUCUUUUUCUUCUUCGUUUCUCCUCCUUCAUCUGUAACUUCCCCAUCUACUCCAUCCUCAUGCUUCUUAUCUUUCUUUUCUUUAUCCUUCUU
rnacentral:lncRNA from 1 species